AGAGUUUGAUCCUGGCUCAGGAUAAACGCUGGCGGCGUGCCUAACACAUGCAAGUCGAACGCUCUGAGCAAUCAGAGAGUGGCGGACGGGUGAGGAACACGUGGGUAUCUGCCUUUCGGUGAGGAAUACCGGCGAGAAAUCGCCGACAAUACCGCAUAUCCUUCUCACGAAGGAAAGUCGUAAGACGCCGGAAGAUGAGCCUGCGCCCGAUUAGCUGGUUGGUGGGGUAAAGGCCUACCAAAGCGACGAUCGGUAGCUGGUCUGAGAGGACGAUCAGCCACACUGGGAUUGAGAACGGCCCAGACUCCUACGGGGGGCAGCAGUGAGGAAUCUUCGUCAAUGGGCGCAAGCCUGAACGAGCAACGCCGCGUGUGGGACGGAGGCCUUCGGGUUGUAAACCACUUUUCUUGGGAACGAGUAUACGGACGGUACCCGAGGAAGAAGUCUCGGCUAACUACGUGCCAGCAGCCGCGGUAAUACGUAGGAGACGAGCGUUGUCCGGAGUUACUGGGCGUAAAGGGGGCGCAGGCGGCACGUCGCGUGGGGGGUGAAAUCUCCUGGCUCAACUGGGAGGGGGCCUUCCAAACGGGCGUGCUUGAGGCGUGGAGAGGGACGUGGAAUUCCGGGUGGAGCGGUGAAAUGCGUAGAGAUCCGGAGGAACACCGACGGCGAAGGCAGCGUCCUGGCCACGACCUGACGCUCAGGCCCGAAAGCUGGGGGAGCAAACAGGAUUAGAUACCCUGGUAGUCCCAGCUGUAAACGAUGUCCACCAGGUGCCGGGGGUAUCGACCCCUUCGGUGCCGCAGCUAACGUGAUGAGUGGACCGCCUGGGGAGUACGGCCGCAAGGUUAAAACUCAAAGGAAUUGACGG
rnacentral:rRNA from 1 species